AGAACGGUAUUACUAUAUUGUCUAAUGUUAAUCACAAAUUACUAAAUUUUUUCCAGCUUUUAUUGAUUUUCUUGAGGAAAGCGAUAGCUUGUGUAUUAGUGGGGUUAAAAAUUACGCGCCAUUUAUUACACCAUUGAUGUAUGGUAUUGAGCGAGAUUUCGACCUUAGAAAUGGCUGUGUGUGGAUUACUUGAGAAGCUCCAAAUCGCGAUGUUAUUUGUAUACUAGGAUGCAGGAGCUCUUUGGAAUGGAUAGUUUAUAUUUAAAUAGGUUCUCAAGAACAUUAAUAGAUGACAGCUAUGGGUAGCAAGGAUGAAGAGAAAGGAAUUUAAGCCACCAAACAAGGCAGUAGUGUAUUCUUAUAAUUUUGAAGAGGCUUAUUUUAACAAAACUAGCCAAACUUUCAGACUGUGACCAGAUGCAGUACCAACAGUCUUAAACUUUCCUGAACAUCUUUAACACAUAAAAACAAGUAUAAACAUAUGCAUCUUUUUCCCCAGGGUACUACAAGUAAUUUAAUUUUAAAUAUUUACUAGCAGUUCCAGAUUGAAACAUACACAGAUGAAUUGUUUAAAAAAUAUUUGCAUUAUCAGCUCAUGCAUCAUCAUCAUUGUCAAGUAAACCAUUCCACAGGAAAGAUAAUUUUGCUGGAGAUUGAGUCUAGAUUUGAGUUUUUAAAGCUUAUACUUGUUACUGUUUAUAAACUUUUAAUUUUAUCAUCCCAUCACUCAGGCAGCUUAUAGUCUGUUUAUACAAAUCCACAGUAAAGUGAUUCUUAGUGGCUUAACAGUAACUCUACAGACUCAUACCACUAAAAACCCUAAUAAUGAUAAAAAAAAAAAA